UGGGGAAUAUUGGACAAUGGGCGAAAGCCUGAUCCAGCCAUGCCGCGUGAGUGAUGAAGGCCUUAGGGUUGUAAAACUCUUUCGCCGGGGAAGAUAAUGACGGUACCCGUGGAGGAAGCAUCGGCUAACUACGUGCCAGCAGCCGCGGUAAGACGUAGGAUGCAAGCGUUGUCCGGAUUUAUUGGGCGUAAAGAGUUCGUAGGCUGUUUGUUAAGUCUGAUGUUAAAGACUGGGGCUCAACCUCGGAAAUGCAUUGGAUACUGGCAGACUGGAGUGCAGUAGAGGCUAGUGGAAUUCCCAGUGUAGCGGUGAAAUGCGUAGAUAUUGGGAAGAACACCGGUGGCGUAGGCGACUAGCUGGGCUGUAACUGACGCUGAGGAACGAAAGCCAGGGGAGCGAAUGGGAUUAGAUACCCUGGUAGUCCCUGAGCGGGCUGGCAAGGCGCAU
rnacentral:rRNA from 1 species